GGGGUCUCUAUGGUCGCAAAUCUCUCUAUCAGGUUUUGUCGUCAAAAGGAAAUUGUUGACACUUGUGUGCACCCUGCAUAAUAUAAAUCGUCCACUCAUAGCCGGACCUUGGUGGCAAUAUCCUCUAGUUAUUAAAUACCAGAUUUAUGCACCUCUGGCAGGCCCAAGAUUAGGUCUUCCAUCUCCAGCAUGCUACAUAAUCACUAAAGCAAACACAUUACGCGUAUAUGACGCCCUGAAUUAAUUAAAUUUUGGAACUAUGUUGCCAUGCUUUUGCCAACCACUUAGGUUAUUGUAGCAUUUGAUAAUGAUAUUUAACAAGAUGACCUAAGAGAUUGAAUGUUCAAGGAACAAUGUUCAUUCACCACCACAGCUAGCUACCAAGACCU
rnacentral:lncRNA from 1 species